UUGAUCUGGGAAAGCAACAAAACACAGCUCUAAGGCAAACAUGAUCAUGGGCGACAAGCCAGACUUGAGGUCAACCAUUCAAGGCACGAUUGUUCAUUCAAAAUGGAAAAACCCCAACCAUCCGCUUUAUCUCCACCACUCAGACCAACCUGGUGCAAUCAUCGUGCCACAACCAUUAGUGGAAGACAACAACAACAUAUGGGUUCAAUCCAUGAAUAUGGCCUUAACGGUCAAGAACAAACUCGGACUUGGUCAAGACAUGGCUGUUAGGUUCCAUGUUGAAAGAGAUUUCAGGGAGCGUCAUCAACUACAAGGAUGCUCGACAGAUGUGCACCGAUUUGCUGGAAAGGUUCUCACAUAUGAAUAUGGUUCAAUUAUUCCAUGUUGAGAAUAAGAUCCAUGAUUGUAUCCAAGGCAAUAUGAGUGACCUUCGCUCGAGGAAGAUGAUUGGGAAGGGAACUGAAAGGGAGAGACUCUACUACCUCGACCCAUCGAAGAAAAGAACAUGCAACAGUAUCCAUGCCGUCUGAGCAAAGCUUUGGCACCAACGCCUAGGACACCCAUAUCAUAAAGCCUUUUUGUUAUUCCCAUUUUUAAAUAAUGAGACUUAUGAUUCGGACAAAUGUUUAAUUUGCCCAUUGGCCAAACAAACAAGAUCGCCCUUUCCAUUAAGUUCUAUUUCUACCAAAUCAUGUUUUGAAUUAUUACAUAUUGAUAUCUGGGGUGGUUAUCA